rnacentral:miRNA from 1 species
CCCUGUGAUGGCCCUUAGAUUG